UAGGAAAUUUGUUCGAGUAGGGAUUAGCUAAAGAUAUAAUAAAAUUAUUUUGUUCUCAAUUAAAUAAAUAAGCGCAAAAAUAUCAAAUGAUUCGCGUAAGAAGUUGGGACAUCAUCAAGGUGUACAGCCUUAGACAGUGUUGUGCCUGUCUCAUAGUAUCGGGGAUUCACUCUCGGUACUUUUUAGGGUCCUGUCCAAGACCCGGUACGAUACGGAAAUAGACCAUCUAAUUCCAUCCUCCGGCCAUACAUGGCUGAGCUAUUGACGAUGUCACUAAAAUUGUAGGGGAAAAUGGACAACAAAUAUAAGUAGUUGACUUAGUCUUUACAGGCUUAAAUACUUUUACAAAAGCCUUAAACUUGACUACCUAUUUAUAAUGAAAACAUGGACUCAUUUGUUUGGGGUUGUUUAGAGUACUAUAGAGCUGAACAUGCGCAGUUCUGGUAUUCUAAACUGACAAUAAAACCCAUGUAAUUGCAUUUAGAACAUGGAUUUUCAAUCAGCAAUGGAUCACAAAGAGAAACGCAUGGGCAUACAUCAUCUCAUGAUCUUUGCUGCGGAUCAAUUUCAGAAGAAAAUUAGGGAGAGCUUUCAAAAUUUUUGCACUCGCCGAAAAUGGGUGGUCUUAUUAUCAAUUAUUCUUGUGUUUGAAUGUUAUUGCAACGUGGUGUCAAACUCCAAUCAACUGCAGAGUGGUAACAAUAAACUAAAUCAUACUGACAAGAAAACUCCGAGGUUUGAGUUUUGGAAAGCUGGGCUACUUCAUUUCAAAUAUUCCUUUACAAACGUACAUUCCUCCAUUGACGCGUACUCCUGAACUCAAUAUUCGACGCGAGGAGGGACUUACUUCAAUCAAGCGUAAAUUAUUAAGUCAAUUAUAAUCUCACAUUUUAGUAGACAUCGUCCAAUACAAAA